GACCUUUAUAAUAUGAGUCAAAUACUGCCCUAUCUAUGGAGCAGAUAAUAGAUUAGCGUGAGGUUUCUGGCAAUAGUGGUCAUUCUGCAGAUAUGUGUGCUAUCUAUCCCAAUUCAGUAUUGUUUGUGGGAUAUGCUCAUAGGCAAUGUUAUGUGAACACCUACAAUCAAGAGUGGCAGACACAACCCCAAAUUCAACCAUAGAGCAACCGGCAACAAUUUCAGCAACAAUAACAAAAUACAUAGGCCA
rnacentral:lncRNA from 1 species